AAAAGGGAGGGAACAAAUUUAGUGUUCCCAUACUACCACUAAUAAAUGUACAUCUGCCUUCGUGUAACUCAAUAGAGACAAUGAGUUCCUUUAUUUCUUUUGAAAUGAUAGAGUAAUGGUCGUCUGCAUAGAAACAAAACCAGAAAUGUCCAUUUUUCUUUCAGAUUUCAAAUUAAAUCUUACCAUUUUAUUGUGAUUUGUGUUGAUCCAUCACUUAAAAACAAUUUUCAACAAAGGGUUUAUGGUAUUUAAACUGCUUAACCAUUCUGCUCUCCUAGGCUCGUUUACAUUAAAAGUGGGGUCAUCUGAACUCCACAAGACAGAGUGCUGAACUUCUUUUUUCAAUGAUUGUCAAUCUUUACGAGUGUUCAAUGACGGACAUGAAGUCCUGUCCACCUUGUCCACCUUUGUCAUGGAAGGGCUAACACCUCAAUGUUAGGGUGGAGUGAGCACAAGGGUUAAAGGGGCCCUACCAUGAAAAUUCUACUUUUAGAAGUUUCAAAUGGAUGUUACUGUUCAUUCCUCACUAUAAAGAACCCCAAAGCAGCAUUUUGAUCCGUUCAUGCAUAUAAGAGUAGCAGCCCCUCUGCAGCAGCCCCUCCCAUGCCAACGAAAAUGAGCAGAUGGAAACGUGCUGACCUAAGAUCGAUGCCAACCGCUGCCUCCAGGAGGAGUCUGUUCUGCAAGCUCCGCCCCCGGACUACAACGAAAACACACCCACUUUCUCCGCAGAGCUGUGGUACAGAAGUAGUUAUCCCUUACUGCCAGAAUCUGUCUCCUGGCAGGGGAUAACUGCCUUCCUGUACCAGGAACCGCUCUCUGACCCAUCUUUAAAUGUCGUCUCACUUCAUUUCCAAUCGGACUGAACUUCGGUUCGCUAUGAGUUUCUGCCAAUCAAAGAACUGUAAAAGAUGUUUCAGAAUCUGUAAAUAGACUUGAAUAUUAACUUCGAACAAUUUGUCAAAGAGCUGAGACUCAAAUUUAUUUUAAACACCAUUUAUGUGCAUUUAGAAGUCAAAUAUAAUAUAAUAGCAGACGUUUUCUUAAGAAACGGGUUAGAAUUUUUUUUCAAGAAAUUAACUUUGUAGCAAGCAGCAAAGGUUUUCUUUGGUCUUUUAUCUUUUUCUUUUUUUUGGCAAAUCUUUUAGACAAUUGAUGGAAUUCUGUUGAAGACUUUUUCUUGCUUGGAGAAUGUAUAAAGUAAUUAUCCAAUGCUAAAACCAGAUACUAUUGGCUUGUUUGGUGCAGAUUUCAGCUUCACAAAAUGAUUGAACUAAUCUUCUAAAGAAAGACAAAACAGAAACCUCCAAACAUCAAUAACCAAAUUAAGAUGAGCUAUUUCAAAAAUGAUUAAAUAAUAGUUUUCUACCUGAAAUAAUAUGAAUUAAUAAAGAGCAUUAUUUAACUUAACUUAGCAAUGUGUAAAAAUAAAAAAAGGGAUUUGCAUAUUUCCUCUACGCAAAGAUGUAUCUAUCCUUACCAGAAACAUUUGGGCAUUAAGGAUGCACACACCCACCUAACCAGCUUAUAAAGCCAUGUCCAUCAGCCAACAGCUAGAACAAUUCAUCAUUUACAUGCUGUGUUGCACCAACGUCUGCAGAAAAAGUUAUUUCCACGGAGAUCAGGUGCAGCAAAACUCCACUUUUAGAUCUUCCUUGCAGCAGGUAACUCUUUUAAAAAAUGAUCUAAUUAAAUAUAAAUGUUAAAUGCUUGUUUUCCUUUUUUAAAUGUGAUUAAAAUUUUUAUUUAAUAUUGUGUAAAAAUGUUUUGAUGGCUAGAAAUCAAAUUUUUUCUUUUUCUCUAGGGAGCCUAUUUGAAAUCCUGACAGAAAUGGGGCGAGCAUUGAUUCUGCUGAUCUCCACAGUGAUCCUGUUUGUGUCGUGGAGUGUCAAAGCACAGGUCAGUGUCGCUCCAUCUAAACUUCAUUGUUACACAGUCACACAAAUCCACUGAGUCAAGUGAUCUUCCUGCAUACAAAUAAAAAGAGAAUCUGAACGACAAAGAGAGUUAGCAUUAGUUCAGAAUAUUAGUGGAUUUCUAAACUUUAUAAAAGCAUUUAAUCCUUACUGGAUGUGUCUGCCUUUAUAGUCCUCAGAUGCUUCUCCUGACCAAUCCAUGUCUACAGAUGGAGUGAGCACAUCUAUGUCAACAACUGUGCCUGCAACUGCAUCAUCAGCUACUAUAACAACUAAUAUCACCCAAACAACAAAUGCCUCUACUACAACUAAUGUCACAACUGUGUCAUCUGCAAGCUGUGCAAUGUCACACCACGCUGCUCUGAUCCUGCUCAGCGUCGUGGUCGGGUCCGUCCUGGAGACAGCAUGAAGAUGAAGGAGGAAGCUGUGAAGAUGCCAUGAGGGCAGUGUCAAACUUUCCUUUUCUUCCAUCCUUUAUAUUCACUCUCAUAUGUCUGAAUUUAAAACUCAGUCGUCCAGCAUCAAAAGCAGAGAGUUUUAAAAUAACUCUGUUUCAAUCAUGUCUGUCCAGUUAUGACCUGAAUGAAUCAGCAGGAACAAAGUCAAAUCAGAUCAGAUUUGUUAUGCAGAAGAGAAAAACAAUGCAACCCACGGUUUUAUUUUGACAUUUUUCUGUAGCAACACAUGAGGGAGGCAGAGGGCUAAAAUAUGAAAUAGCACCAGCUGACAAAAUAUUGAAAUAGUAAAUACACUUCAGGUGUUUGUUUGUUUGUUUGCAUGUGUAAAAUUUAAAUUAAAAAGAUUAGAUAAGAUUAUAUUAAAAAGAUUAAAAAAGAAAAACUUAUAGAAGUGUGUGAGCGAUUAAAGCCAAAUGAGUUUUUCUCCCCCUAACAGAAAAACACAUUUUUGUUCAUGUCUCUAUGAAAACCCUGUUUCGCAUGCAAAAGUUAAAACAUAUUCAAAACAUUUCCUUGAACAUUUCAUGGUGGGGAAAAAAAGCCAAACACACAGAACAAAGCAGGAAAUACGGAUCUGCUCUACACCAAGUAAGAAAACUCUAAAUUUACAUAAAGUUGUUAGUUUUCUGUAUCUAUGUUUUGCUUUUUUUCUGUUUGACUUCCUGUGUGAACUGCUGGUUGAGUAAAAACUGUAUCCAUCCUAUGUGUCCACAUUUCCUUAUUGUCUGUAGACAAGCAAAGGACUGUCCAGAAUGAGAUCAUUGUUUUUACGUUUAACCCUUGGAUAUUUGCUUUCAACAUACAGAUUGUAGUUAUCUCAUCCUCAUUUGUUUUUUUCUCCAGGUAUCAUAGAGCUGCUUAUAUCAUUACUGUUUAAUGCAUGGAAAAAAUAUUCCUAUAGAAGUUUAUAUCACCAUAUAUAUGAUUGACUCAAUAUAUUAUACCUACAUAUAUGUACUUGUGUAAUGAAUGCUCUGAGUCUGUAUUUUCACUCUGUAAUGAAAACCUUACAAACCUCAUCAAAAUAAAAGAUGGUUUUCAUUUUA